rnacentral:rRNA from 1 species
UACGAAGGGUGCAAGCGUUACUCGGAAUUACUGGGCGUAAAGCGUGCGUAGGUGGUUUGUUAAGUCUGAUGUGAAAGCCCUGGGCUCAACCUGGGAAUUGCACUGGAUACUGGCAGUCUAGAGUGCGGUAGAGGAUGGCGGAAUUCCCGGUGUAGCAGUGAAAUGCGUAGAGAUGCGGAGGAACACCGAUGGCGAAGGCAGCCCCCUGGGCUAACACUGACGCUCAGGCACGAAAGCGUGGGGAGCAAACAGG